AGUGAACGCUGGCGGCGUGCUUAACACAUGCAAGUCGAACGAGAACGGAUUAUAGCUUGCUAUAAUUGUCAGCUAAGUGGCGCACGGGUGAGUAAUAUAUAGGUAAUGUGCCCUAGAGAAGAGGAUAACAGUUGGAAACGACUGCUAAGACUCUAUAUGCCUUUAAGACAGAAGUCUGCAAGGGAAAUAUUUAUAGCUCUAGGAUCAGCCUGUACAGUAUCAGUUAGUUGGUGAGGUAAUGGCUCACCAAGACUAUGACACUUAACUGGUUUGAGAGGAUGAUCAGUCACACUGGAACUGAGACACGGUCCAGACUCCUACGGGAGGCAGCAGUGGGGAAUAUUGCACAAUGGACGAAAGUCUGAUGCAGCAACGCCGCGUGGAGGAUGACACAUUUCGGUGCGUAAACUCCUUUUAUAUAGGAAGAUAAUGACGGUACUAUAUGAAUAAGCACCGGCUAACUCCGUGCCAGCAGCCGCGGUAAUACGGAGGGUGCAAGCGUUACUCGGAAUCACUGGGCGUAAAGAGCGUGUAGGCGGAUAUAUAAGUCAGAAGUGAAAUCCAAUAGCUUAACUAUUGAACUGCUUUUGAAACUGUAUAUCUAGAAUGUGGGAGAGGUAGAUGGAAUUUCUGGUGUAGGGGUAAAAUCCGUAGAGAUCAGAAGGAAUACCGAUUGCGAAGGCGAUCUACUGGAACAUUAUUGACGCUGAGACGCGAAAGCGUGGGGAGCAAACA
rnacentral:rRNA from 1 species